AUGGGCUCGCUAGAUGGAGGUCCGGUCACGGGAGCGACGCGGAUUGCGCACGGGCGCGGAGGCGAUGGCCAUGGCUUCUCUGUUUUGAUUCGUUGCCGCGUCGUGGAUGAGGCCAUCAAAGAACCAUUAAGGGAGGCGAAGGGCGAAGAGGAGCCUGCAACACAUGUGCUGGUAGUGGUGGAGGAAGCCCCAACAUCGGUGGCCAUCUGCUUUGUUUUUAUCGUCGCGUCGGCGGAUGAGGGUGUCGAGGUGCAACUUCGGGAGGCAGAGGUCGACGAGGAGCCGCUGAUGCAGGUGUUCUACUAG
rnacentral:rRNA from 1 species